rnacentral:rRNA from 1 species
CCUACGGGAGGCAGCAGUAGGGAAUCUUCCGCAAUGGGCGAAAGCCUGACGGAGCGAUGCCGCGUGAGUGAGGAAGGCCUUCGGGUCGUAAAACUCUGUUGUGAGGGAAGAACAGGUGAGGUCAUAACACGGCCUUACUUUGACGGUACCUCACGAGAAAGCCCCGGCUAACUACGUGCCAGCAGCCGCGGUAAU